UCAACAGCCUUGUAGACUGAAACCCUUUGUUCAUCUACACAGGAGGUGCUGCUGAGGCAGCUGCUAUGAAAACUUCCUUAUACCACCCCUGACCUGGAAGGACCUCUCUAGAUGUGAAAGGGCAGUGUUCAUCCUUAUUCCCCUCAAACCUUGGAGCCU
rnacentral:sRNA from 1 species